UAGCAGUUUAGACUUGAGAUAUCAUUUUCGCGGCAAAAUUGAAAUGUAAAGAUAAAGUUUUAUCCCAACCAUUUCAAUUUCUCAGAGGAGCAGAGCAAUGGCGUUCUUAGCUAGAUUUCCUUUAUCAAGCUUCUGUAUUGUAUCAUCCAAGUCAUUACUGAUUCCUUUAAACCCUCUUACUCCAAUCCGAAGGGUUGUUCGUACUUUUUCUGUUUCCGCUUCUUCUUCUGUUCCUCCUACUAUAACUGAUAAAGCGGAGGAUAAUUCUCCAUCUUCAUCAGUAACAUUGAAGUCUACAUCUACUGAGAUUACUCCUUUAGUAACAGCAACAGCAACAGCAGUGUCUAAAAGAUGGAAACCGAUUUGUCUGUAUUACACACAAGAAAAAUGCACCAUGAUGGAUGAUCCUGUGCAUCUUGAGAAGUUCACUCAUGAUUUAUCCUCUGGUCUUCAAGUAAAUGUUGCUGAUCUUGAAAAUGUGGGUGCUCAAAAUCUAGAUUAUCUUUUGGUGCUCGACUUGGAAGGGAAAGUUGAGAUUCUUGAAUUUCCUGUUAUAAUAAUUGAUACAAAAACCUUGGAGUUUGUAGAUUUUUUCCACAGGUUUGUGAGGCCUACCAAAAUGAGCGAGAAGAGAGUGGAGGAAUAUAUUGAAGGAAAAUAUGGAAAAAUUGGAGUUGAUCGUGUUUGGCACGAUACAGCAAUCUCAUUUGAAGAAGUAAUUCAACAAUUUGAAAUUUGGAUGACCAUUCAUCAUUUGUGGGAAUCAGAACAUGGAGGAGCUCUACAUCGAGCUGCAUUUGUUACUUGUGGAAAUUGGGAUUUGAAGACAAAGGUCCCUCAGCAGUGCAAAGAUUCAAGUAUGAAGCUACCCCCGUACUUCAUGGAGUGGAUUAAUUUGAAAGACAUAUAUCUCAACUUUUACAAGAGAAGGGCCACAGGAAUGGUAACUAUGAUGAAAGAACUCAACAUGCCAUUGGUUGGAAAACACCAUCUUGGAAUCGAUGACACCAAGAACAUUGCAAGAGUUUUGCAACGCAUUCUUGUAGAUGGUGCACUGAUGCAGAUUACUGCAAGGAGAAGUUCCAGUUCUCUUGAGAAGGUGGAGUUCCUUUUCAAGAAUCGGAUUGUUUGAACUGCUUAUCUGAUGAAUAUCUGGCGAUUUUGGUGGCAGCAAGCUUUCUUCGUCGUGCAGGUGGUGCAAUCCAAGCCACAGGUGGGACUUUCAGGGCCUCCACAGCAGAAGAAGCAGAGGCUCUGAGUAUGCUGGAAACCGCAAACUGGGCAAAAAGAAUGGACCUAAAGAACUUCUCAGUGGAAGGUGAUUGUCAGAGGCUCAUCCUUUAUGCUCAGGACAAGCAGAGCAACAUCUUUUGGAGAAACAAAGCCAUAGUUUCUGAAGCUGUGAAGAUUUUGAAGACAUGUGAAAACUUUUUGGGUUUUAUGUUUAAGAAUAGGAAUGGCAACGAAGUGGCAGACACUUUGGCAAAAGAAACGCGUAAGCAAGGAAUUCAUAAACAACAAUGGGUGUUGAUGCCACAUAUUUUAAAUUCUGCUUUACUAUCUGAUGUUUGUUUUUCUAAUUCAGCUAAUAUUUCUAGCUUACAAAAUGGAGUUAACAUUAUGUUGGUAGACACCAAUAUCUCAAAUCCUCUGGAUGAGAUAAGGGAAACCAACAUUUUUGAUACCCG